UUGGUGAGCCUCUGGGUCCACCUCCCACCCGUGUUUAUUGUACCUUGUUGCUUCGGUGCGCCCGCCUCACGGCCGCCGGGGGGCUUCUGCCCCCGGGUCCGCGCGCACCGGAGACACCAUUGAACUCUGUCUGAAGAUUGCAGUCUGAGCAUAAACUAAAUAAGUUAAAACUUUCAACAACGGAUCUCUUGGUUCCGGCAUCGAUGAAGAACGCAGCGAAAUGCGAUAACUAAUGUGAAUUGCAGAAUUCAGUGAAUCAUCGAGUCUUUGAACGCACAUUGCGCCCCCUGGUAUUCCGGGGGGCAUGCCUGUCCGAGCGUCAUUGCUGCCCUCAAGCACGGCUUGUGUGUUGGGCUCCGUCCCCCCGGGGACGGGCCCGAAAGGCAGCGGCGGCACCGAGUCCGGUCCUCGAGCGUAUGGGGCUUUGUCACCCGCUCUGUAGGCCCGGCCGGCGCCAGCCGACAACCCAUCAUCCUUUUCAGGUUGACCUCGGAUCAGGUAGGGA
rnacentral:rRNA from 1 species